UACGUAGGGGGCAAGCGUUGUCCGGAUUUACUGGGCGUAAAGAGCGUGUAGGCGGCCACGCAGGUCCGUUGUGAAAACUGGAGGCUCAACCUUCAGACGUCGACGGAAACCGUAUGGCUAGAGUCCGGAAGAGGAGAGUGGGAAUUCCGUGGUGUAGCGGUGAAAUGACGCAGAUAUCAGGAAGAACACCAAUGGCGAAGGCAGCUCUCUGGGACGGUACUGACGCGAGACGCGAAAGCGUGGGGAGCGAAACAGG
rnacentral:rRNA from 1 species